GCCGAUAUAGCUCAGUUGGGAGAGCGUUAUUAAACUGGAGAUUUAAAGGUCCCUGGUCCGAUUCCAGGUUUCGGCA